rnacentral:rRNA from 1 species
UGAGUCGAGCUGAUCAGCCAUGCCGCGUGCAGGAGACGGCCCUAUGGGUUGUAAACUGCUUUUGUACGGGAAGAAACACCCCCUCGUGAGGGGGCCUGACGGUACCGUAAGAAUAAGGAUCGGCUAACUCCGUGCCAGCAGCCGCGGUAAUACGGAGGAUCCAAGCGUUAUCCGGAAUCAUUGGGUUUAAAGGGUCCGUAGGUGGGCCGUUAAGUCAGAGGUGAAAUCCUGCAGCUCAACUGUAGAAUUGCCUUUGAUACUGGCGGUCUUGAAUCAUUGUGAAGUGGUUAGAAUAUGUGGUGUAGCGGUGAAAUGCAUAGAUAUCACAUAGAAUACCGAUUGCGAAGGCAGAUCACUAACAAUGCAUUGACACUGAUGGACGAAAGCGUGGGUAGCGAACAGGAUUAGAUACCCUGGUAGUCCACGCCGUAAACGAUGGAUACUAGCUGUCCGGCGCAAGCUGGGUGGCUAAGCGAAAGUGAUAAGUAUCCCACCUGGGGGAGUACGUUCGCAAGAAUGAAACUCACAAGAAAAUUGACGGGAGAUUCCC